rnacentral:rRNA from 1 species
AUUGAACGCUGGCGGCAUGCUUUACACAUGCAAGUCGAACGGUAACAGGCCGCAAGGUGCUGACGAGUGGCGAACGGGUGAGUAAUGCAUCGGAACGUGCCCAGUCGUUGGGGAUAACUACUCGAAAGAGUAGCUAAUACCGCAUACGAUCUAUGGAUGAAAGCGGGGGACCGUAAGGACUCGCGCGGUUGGAGCGGCCCAUGUGAGAUUAGUUAGUUGGUGGUGUAAAGGUUCACCAAGCCAAAGAUUUGUAACUGGUCUGAGAGGACGACCAGCCACACUGGAACUGAGACACGGCCCAGACUCCUACGGGAGGCAGCAGUGGGGAAUUUUGGACAAAGGGCGCAAGCCUGAUCCAGCAAUGCCGCGUGCAGGAAGAAGGCCUUCGGGUUGUAAACUGCUUUUGUACGGAACGAAACGGCUCUGGUUAAUACCCGGGGCUAAUGACGGUACCGUAAGAAUAAGCACCGGCUAACUACGUG